GGCCCCAUAGCUCAACUGAAUAGAGUAUUUGACUACGGAUCAAAAGGCUGCAGGUUUGAAUCCUGCUGGGGUCACCA
rnacentral:tRNA from 1 species